rnacentral:rRNA from 1 species
UACAGAGGGGGCAAGCGUUGUUCGGAAUUACUGGGCGUAAAGGGCGCGUAGGCGGCCUUCUAAGUCGAACGUGAAAUCCCCGGGCUUAACCCGGGAACUGCGUCCGAUACUGGAAGGCUUGAAUCCGGGAGAGGGAUGCGGAAUUCCAGGUGUAGCGGUGAAAUGCGUAGAUAUCUGGAGGAACACCGGUGGCGAAGGCGGCAUCCUGGACCGGCAUUGACGCUGAGGCGCGAAAGCCAGGGGAGCAAACGGG